UACGUAGGGUGCGAGCGUUGUCCGGAAUUAUUGGGCGUAAAGAGCUUGUAGGCGGUCUGUCGCGUCUGCUGUGAAAAUCCGGGGCUCAACCCCGGACUUGCAGUGGGUACGGGCAGACUAGAGUGUGGUAGGGGAGACUGGAAUUCCUGGUGUAGCGGUGAAAUGCGCAGAUAUCAGGAGGAACACCGAUGGCGAAGGCAGGUCUCUGGGCGACUACUGACGCUGAGAAGCGAAAGCAUGGGGAGCGAACAGG
rnacentral:rRNA from 1 species